rnacentral:rRNA from 1 species
CUGGCUCAGGAGUGAACGCUGGCGGCGUGCCUAAUACAUGCAAGUCGACGAGAGUGCUUGCACUCUAGUGGCGAACGGGUGAGUAACACGUAGGUAACCUGCCUUACAGUUUGGGAUACCCUGGCGAAAGCUAGGCUAAUACCGAAUAAUUGGAUUGGAGGCAUCUCCGAUCUCUAAAAGGGGCCUUUAAAGCCUCGCUGAAUGAUGGACCUGCGGCGCAUUAGCUAGUUGGUGAGAUAACAGCCCACCAAGGCGAGGAUGCGUAGCCGACCUGAGAGGGUGAACGGCCACACUGGAACUGAGACACGGUCCAGACUCCUACGGGAGGCAGCAGUAGGGAGUUUUCGGCAAUGGGGGCAACCCUGACCGAGCAACGCCGCGUGAAUGAUGAAGGUCUUCGGAUUGUAAAGUUCUGUUAUAAGGGGAAGAACGAUAUGAUGAGGAAAUGCUUCAUAUUUGACGGUACCUUAUUAGAAAGCCACGGCUAACUACGUGCCAGCCGCGGC